rnacentral:rRNA from 1 species
ACAAAAACAUCUUUUCUUGUUAGUUUUUGAAGUAUGACCUGCCCGCUGACAGUUGAGUUGAAGGGCCGCGGUAUUUUGACCGUGCAAAGGUAGCAUAAUCAUUAGUUCUUUAAAUGUGAUCUGGUAUGAAUGGUUUGACGAGAUAUGAGCUGUCUUAGAGGUAUUGUUUAUUGAAUUUGAUUUUUGAGUUAAAAUUCUUAGAUGUUUUUAUGGGACGAGAAGACCCUAUAGAGUUUAACAAUUUUCUUAUUUGUAUUGUUGUUUGUUUAUUUUAUUGAGUGGGAGAAAUUGUUUUGUUGGGGUGAUGGGAGGAAUUUGUUUAACUCCUCUUUUGUUUUUUAUAUUUAUGUAUAUUUCUUUUGAUCCAUUUAUUUUGAUUAUAAGAUUAAAUUACCUUAGGGAUAACAGCGUUAUCCUCCUUGAGAGUUCUUAUUGGCGGGAGGGAUUGCGACCUCGAUGUUGGAUUAAGGUGAAUUUCGGUGCAGGAGCUGAGAGUGAUAGGUCUGUC